GCCCGAACCGACCCGACCGGGGGGGGCGGGGCCCGCUCGGGCCGCCUCAACAUGGUGGCCGUUCCCGCUCCUCUUCUCCGCGUCUACACGUGCAGCGAGACGUUAUCUCAAGGCGGAGGGGUGCGGAGAACUCGCCGAGGCUCGGUGUCUCCUGAGGUCGGGUACCAAGAAGACAGCACACCUCGAUGUGGGAGAAGAUGGCAGGCCCCCACCCACCCACCGUCAGAAUAAUGUCAAAG